rnacentral:rRNA from 1 species
AUGGUUUUUCUAGAAAAUGUUCAAAAUUUCAAAAACAUGUUGUUUUUCAGAAAUGUUCUCAAAUUUAAAAUAUUGUUCACUUUUAAAACUAUAUAUAUAUAUAUAUGUAAUAAUAUUUUAUAUAUUCAUAUUUUGAAAAUAAAAAAUCAAUCUGAAGUAAGUAAAACAGAAGAAGAAAAUGUGUCGCAACAAGAAGAACGUCUUGCUAUAGGACAAUCAGGCUCGCUCGCUAUGCGUCGACCUAGUCAGGAAGGAUGUCCCGUGCGAAAUAACGACUAUUUGACGCCACUAGCAUCAAAUGGCGUCAAAUAG